rnacentral:tmRNA from 1 species
GGGGACGAUUUGGACUUGACAGGGCGGUUUUCGGAAGUAAACUGCGCGUCGGGGUGCUGUUCCUCGUUAAUAACAAGCACUUUGAUAAAUGCCAACGAUAACGUUGUCAGCCUUGCAGAGUACAAAGCUCAGAAAUCUAACGUAGUCGCCCUGCGCGCUGCCUAGACUCUCUUAGCGGAGUGCUUAUCCACGACAUACUGUGGAUGGCAUCCUUACUUUUCUAGCAUGCCGAGAAGUAGGGACAAUGACGCAUGCUAGCUGAAUCCUGAUGGCAAUAGGGUGAAAGCGAAACUUUUUGCCAACCCCGGCGGGGUUAAACGCUUGGAAUCGCUUUUAGCCCUGGGAAGGGGCUGGGCGAAACGACAAUAAUCCUUUCCUACACGCGUAGACGUUCACUGGCGAACGUUCUGGACGCGGGUUCGACUCCCGCCGUCUCCACCA